GAGGAGAGGGAGAUAAAGCCAGUAGGUGAGAGAUGAGCUUGGAGGAGGUGACUGCUAUUGCAGAUAGAAUUGGUGGAGAGGCCCCUGGGAAGAAGAAUCCUUGGGUCACAGACAGGUAUUCUGCGAUGGAGAUGGAGCAUAGCAUUUGGAAAGAGAUUUCAGAAUGAUGAACACAGCCUCAGACUUCUUGCUUCCCACAAAUGCAGAGACCCUUCCACCCCCCACGCCCCACACAAAAAAGUAUUCAGGUGGAAGCUGUCAACCCAGGUUGGGUCAGUUGGACAGGUGACUCUGCCUGUCAGUGCCAGUCACACUUCUUUACCUUCAAGACUUCAAAGUAAAUUCCAGUUUGGAAGUGACAGCUUUUCCCCAUAGGGCGUGUUUCAGUGGAAGAGCGUCAGUUCCGUUUCCAGGGCCCCAAAGCCCUCUGUAAGUUCUGUUACCUUCUGGGUCAGUUCCUGUGGAUAAAAGGCUUAGCCGUGCAGAAGUGUGCUCUGGCUGUUGUGAGGUUUGCAGAUCAGUCUCAUGGACCUGUGCCCUGCCCGCGGCCUCAGAACAAGUUCCCGUGAGAGGAGACCCAGCAGUGGGCAAGACCGCCCUGGCACAGAUCUUCCGCAGUGAUGGAGCCCAUUUCCAGAAAAGCUACACCCUGACAACAGGAAUGGAUUUGGUGGUGAAGACAGUGCCAGUUCCUGACACGGGAGACAGUGUGGAACUCUUCAUUUUUGACUCUGCUGGCAAGGAGCUGUUUUCGGAAAUGCUGGAUAAAUUGUGGGAGAGUCCCAAUGUCUUAUGUCUCGUCUAUGAUGUGAC
rnacentral:lncRNA from 1 species